AAAGAAACUGGUGGUGAUCUCUGCAGACGAGACAAAGGCCAUGUCUGUGCUUACUGUGAGAGACACCUGUGUGGAUUGUCUUGGGUGUCACAUCUCCAUUUUUAAGACCUCCACUGGAGACCAUGAUCCCUGCCUGAAGCAGCUGAAGGGUUCCAAUUUCUACAGUGUCCCAGAUAUUCAAAAGGAAAGAAGAGCAUUCAAGAUGUCACAUAGAUCAAGUGAGA
rnacentral:lncRNA from 1 species